rnacentral:rRNA from 1 species
GAUGAACGCUGGCGGCGUGCCUAAUACAUGCAAGUCGAGCGAACAGACGAGGAGCUUGCUCCUCUGACGUUAGCGGCGGACGGGUGAGUAACACGUGGUUAACCUACCUAUACGACUGGGAUAACUUCGGGAAACCGGAGCUAAUACCGGAUAAUAUAUUGAACCGCAUGGUUCAAUAGUGAAAGACGGUUUUGCUGUCACUUAUAGAUGGAUCCGCGCCGCAUUAGCUAGUUGGUAAGGUAACGGCUUACCAAGGCAACGAUGCGUAGCCGACCUGAGAGGGUGAUCGGCCACACUGGAACUGAGACACAGUCCAGACUCCUACGGGAGGCAACAGUAGGGAAUCUUCCGCGAUGGGCGAAAGCCUGACGGAGCAACGCCGCGUGAGUGAUGAAGGUCUUCGGAUCGUAGAACUCUGUUAUUAGGGAAGAACAAAUGUGUAAGUAACUAUGCACGUCUUGACGGUACCUAAUCAGAAAGCCACGGCUAACUACGUG